GGUGGCCUAGUGGUUAGAGCGUCUGCUUCAAAUGCCGAAGGUUGUAGGUUGGAUCCCAGAUCAAGUCAUACCAGAGACU